rnacentral:lncRNA from 1 species
AUUCGAGCUACAUAGAAAGCAUGAAUAUGUUUUAGAAAAGUAAUAUAUGAGAAAGUAAUUUCCAAAACUCUGUAAAUACCAUGACAUUGUUGUAGUGUAGCUUAAGACAAGCAAAACUACAUAGUACUAUAUCUUUAUAUACUAAAAUGCAAUGAAAAGAUGCAAGAAAAUGAUAAUCAAUAUUCAGAUACUGGUUGCUGGGGGAAAGGCAGCCUCCAAGAAAUACAUUAUACAAGCAUUGCACAGCAAUCUUCUAUUUUUUUAAGAUGGAAGAUAGAAUUAUGAGUAUAUAUUUUACUACUGUGUUAACUACAAUCUUUUGAGUAUGCAAAACAUUGCACAAUAAAAGUACUUAAAUGGUGACCAGUAGAGCCAUAAUAGUUAAUAAAAAAUCAUUAGGGAACAGUUAACCUUUGGGAAAAGGCAUAAUUCUACCAUCAACUAAGGAAAGUCUCCUGGAUCCUGCCUUUCACGAUUUAGUGCUGUAGACCUGCUCUGGACUAGUUAUGGAGAUUUACUCCUGCUAAAACACAUGUGAGCCAGCAGAAACAUCAAGAGUGCCAAUGCAUACAUUUAUAUUGAGAAGUACCUCUUUCUCAUACUGUAAAUAUCAUGAUUUGCACCUUCUUUACCUGUAUUCAGACUGCAUAAGAAUAAUCAGAAACCUCAUUAUUGACUUUUCAAGAGAAUUCUGUCAGCAGGGCUGGCUGGCUGGUUUCAACAACAUGUUCUACAAUAGUCAAAGUAAACUGUAAUUCCCCAGAAUACAAAUAUAUCUUAGAAACAAAAGGGUGCAAAGAGGAAUUUGCACACUCUCAGCUAUGUAAGCAAACUUGCAUGAAAGUCAAAAGUUUGCUUUGUGAGCAAUGAAAAAAUUAAAAGUAUUAGUCAUAAUGAGAACCAGUACAACAAAAUCUAGGCCCCCUGCUAUCUUCAGUAGAGUCCAACAUACCCUAACACAUUUAGUGCCACCAUUAUUUCUCAUACCUAGAACUGGCAUCAUUUAUUGAUUGUGGCACCAUUUUCUAAGCAUUGUCUCAUGAUCCUUCUCAAAGGACCCCAGAUAACCAAUAACUGACCAAAAACUACCCCACCUCCCUGGGUUUAAUUUGGAGUGACCUAUGUACUCCCCCCUGAAAUAUUCCAUACUACUCUUACAUGUUUGUCUACGUUCAUCCAAAUACCCCCUGCACACCCACGGACACACAUACACACCAACCUGGAAUGUUCUUUUCUUACUGUGUGUCCUGCUUGAACCCAGUCUUUUCCAAUACAGUUUCUCUGACUAUCCCUGUCAGGACUGCUGUUUCCCUCUUCAGAAAGCCAGUUACUUACAUAUCAUUUGGCAUUCAGUGUCUUGCAUGGGUAAUUGUAUUUUCAGGAUCUUCUGUGUUAUAAUCUAUGUUUUAGGUUUUUAGGUUUCUUGGGUGCAGGACUAUACUUUGCAAUCUUUAUAAAACUACUAUGGAUAGAGAGGAGUGAAGGGAGGUGAGAGGGAGUAUGGGAGUAGGAAUGAUAGUAGAAUGACUUG